GCGGUAACAGAUCCAGCUUGCUGGAUGCUGACGAGCGGCGGACGGGUGAGUAAUGCAUAGGAAUCUGCCCGGUAGUGGGGGAUAACCUGGGGAAACCCAGGCUAAUACCGCAUACGUCCUACGGGAGAAAGGGGGCUUCGGCUCCCGCUAUCGGAUGAGCCUAUGUCGGAUUAGCUAGUUGGUGAGGUAACGGCUCACCAAGGCCACGAUCCGUAGCUGGUCUGAGAGGAUGAUCAGCCACAUCGGGACUGAGACACGGCCCGAACUCCUACGGGAGGCAGCAGUGGGGAAUAUUGGACAAUGGGGGGAACCCUGAUCCAGCCAUGCCGCGUGUGUGAAGAAGGCCCUCGGGUUGUAAAGCACUUUCAGCGAGGAAGAACGCCUAGCGGUUAAUACCCGCUAGGAAAGACAUCACUCGCAGAAGAAGCACCGGCUAACUCCGUGCCAGCAGCCGCGGUAAUACGGAGGGUGCAAGCGUUAAUCGGAAUUACUGGGCGUAAAGCGCGCGUAGGUGGCUUGAUAAGCCGGUUGUGAAAGCCCCGGGCUCAACCUGGGAACGGCAUCCGGAACUGUCAAGCUAGAGUGCAGGAGAGGAAGGUAGAAUUCCCGGUGUAGCGGUGAAAUGCGUAGAGAUCGGGAGGAAUACCAGUGGCGAAGGCGGCCUUCUGGACUGACACUGACACUGAGGUGCGAAAGCGUGGGUAGCAAACAGGAUUAGAUACGCUGGUAGUCCACGCCGUAUACGAUGUCGACCAGCCGUUGGGUGCCUAGCGCACUUUGUGGCGAAGUUAACGCGAUGAGUCGACCGCCUGGGGGAGUACGG
rnacentral:rRNA from 1 species